rnacentral:rRNA from 1 species
UACGUAGGGUGCAAGCGUUGUCCGGAAUUACUGGGCGUAAAGAGUUCGUAGGCGGUUUGUCACGUCGUUUGUGAAAACUCACAGCUCAACUGUGAGCCUGCAGGCGAUACGGGCAGACUUGAGUACUGCAGGGGAGACUGGAAUUCCUGGUGUAGCGGUGAAAUGCGCAGAUAUCAGGAGGAACACCGGUGGCGAAGGCGGGUCUCUGGGCA